GCGCAGCCUGAUGCAGCGACGCCGCGUGAGGGAUGGAGGCCUUCGGGUUGUAAACCUCUUUUGUUUGGGAGCAAGCCUUCGGGUGAGUGUACCUUUCGAAUAAGCGCCGGCUAACUACGUGCCAGCAGCCGCGGUAAUACGUAGGGCGCAAGCGUUAUCCGGAUUUAUUGGGCGUAAAGGGCUCGUAGGCGGCUCGUCGCGUCCGGUGUGAAAGUCCAUCGCUUAACGGUGGAUCUGCGCCGGGUACGGGCGGGCUGGAGUGCGGUAGGGGAGACUGGAAUUCCCGGUGUAACGGUGGAAUGUGUAGAUAUCGGGAAGAACACCGAUGGCGAAGGCAGGUCUCUGGGCCGUCACUGACGCUGAGGAGCGAAAGCGUGGGGAGCGAACAGGAUUAGAUACC
rnacentral:rRNA from 1 species